UACGAAGGGGGCUAGCGUUGCUCGAAAUUACUGGGCGUAAAGGGCGCGUAGGCGGAUAGUUUAGUCAGAGGUGAAAGCCCAGGGCUCAACCUUGGAAUUGCCUUUGAUACUGGCUAUCUUGAGUUCGGGAGAGGUGAGUGGAAUGCCGAGUGUAGAGGUGAAAUUCGUAGAUAUUCGCAAGAACACCAGUGGCGAAGGCGGCUCACUGGCCCGGUACUGACGCUGAGGUGCGAAAGCGUGGGGAGCAAACAGG
rnacentral:rRNA from 1 species